rnacentral:rRNA from 1 species
UCCGUAGGUGGAUAAUUUAGUCAGAGGUGAAAUCCUGCAGCUCAACUGUAGAAUUGCCUUUGAUACUGGUUAUCUUGAGUUAUUAUGAAGUAGUUAGAAUAUGUAGUGUAGCGGUGAAAUGCAUAGAUAUUACAUAGAAUACCAAUUGCGAAGGCAGAUUACUAAUAAUCAACUGACACUGAUGGACGAAAGCGUGGGGAGCGAACAGGAUUAGAUACCCUGGUAGUCC